UCACCAAGCCUGGCCCCCACCCAUGGAGAGAGCUCUGGUCUGCACCUCUUAGAAAGGUCAGAUGCACAAUGAACAUUACACCAGGAUCGAGCAGCUCAUGAUCUCUGCUGACACCCAACAGGCCACCUCAGGCCACUCUGAACUGAUCUCCGCAUCCAUCAGUCUCCUUGCUUCCUCGGGUUCUCCUCAGCCCAACAUCUCGCACAGCCAGAAUGAGCCUCUGCCAAGUGCUUGCUGUGGCUGCCCUCUGUGCCUUUGGACACGAAGCUCUUGAACUGAAGCAGCCUCAAGUCUCCAUCACUAGAGACCUGAGCACAACAGCACGUGUGACUUGUCAAGUGUCUGGCAGUCAGAACUUUAAGGACGAGUACAUACACUGGUACCAGCAGAAGCCAAACCAACCUUUGCAACAUCUGCUCUUUGUCCACUCAACCAGUGCUGCCGCAACAAAAUCCUUACAUGAGGUAAGGAAGAAAUUUGUGGCAGAAAAGAAUGAAGGCAAAGGAACCUCAAUCCUAACAAUAAGCAGCAUAACACGUGAAGAUGAGGCCACCUACUAUUGUGCAUGCUGGGAAGACCACAGCAGUCAGCACUCAGUGACAACACCUACAAGAAUCCUGCCCUCCUUGCGGCCCUCCCCACAUCCUCUUCCCCUGGGGGCCACCUCCUUGUUUCUGGCUCCCAUCCCAUUUGGCCUGUCGGUAACACUUCCUGCAUUUCUUACCAGGACCAUGUGGCCCAUGUCUAUACCACACUACAUUCCUGCUCUAACUCAUACAGGUUCCAAACUCCCUCCAUCACCAUCGUAACCAUUCACAUCUCUGCAGGGCUCUAAGAUUUCCGAUGGUUUUAUGGGUUGGACCAGACAGCUUCUGAGGUCCCUUCCAAUUCUCAACUUCUGUCUCUCUGCUUUUUGGCAGAGAGCCUUACUUUAUAUUAUGUUGCCUCAUCCUCUUCACCACCCUAUGGAACAGGUUCUCUUUCCAUCCCAGCAGCACCUGUCUAAGGAUGAUUUUGAACACAGAUAUUCCUGACUCCAUGUCUUGCCCCCUGUCCAAAGCUCAUGCACCAAAGCUAACACUUGGAUCCAAUAUCCCUCAGGAGAAACUAAAAGAAACAUGAAGAAGGAAGACAUUAAUAUCCUCUCUUAAUUCCUUAGGUCUCUGAACCAAUUCAAAUCCUUUUUUGGGUAGAAUUCAGACUAAGUGACCAGGGAAGUGCCUUCCAACACUGAGAUGCUAUUUCUCCUCAUCACUUAUGGUUGUGAUGGUUCGUUAUCUUUGUUAAUCAAUGAGUAUUGAUUCAGGUGGAGUGUGCCCAGUGCUGUGGGAAAGAUGAAAGGAGCCCAAGACACAGUUCUCUUCAAGAAACUGCCCUUAGCCUUGGGGAAAUGGUAUGACCAGCAGUGAAAGAGAACAUGUGUCUAUAGAUGACCAAGGCUGG